UUGUGUAAAUGGUAAACCAUUCGUAAGGAUGGGGCACAAAGCUAUAGGGUCCUAAGAGAAAAUAGGACAGCCAGUUGCCACA
rnacentral:ncRNA from 1 species